rnacentral:ncRNA from 1 species
GUGUUAGGUGCCGUAAGGCUUAAAAGAGGAAGAUGGGUGAAAAACCCACACAGCCCCCGCUACUGUAAAGUGGAUGAAACCUAUAACCACUGGAUCACUGAUCUGGGAAGGUAGGGAGUAGGAUGAAACUGAGUCAGGAGACUUACCUAAAAACU